GGCCUGAUGGUCUAGUGGUAUGAUUGUCGCUUCGUAAGCCAGCCCACCAGCCAUCUCCUCUCUGUUCUCCCAUCUAACAGUCCUUUCAGGGGUUUCCUACCUGGAUACAGUGUAUCUGUUGUGUGACAGGCCCCGGGUUCGAAUCCCGGUCAGGCCC
rfam:Alternaria alternata strain SRC1lrK2f unplaced genomic scaffold CC77scaffold_16, whole genome shotgun sequence.